AGCGACCCAUUAAGUCAUGUAGUUCAACAUCACCACUCGAUGUUUUGGUCAACUGUUUACUGAAAGCCUCCUCCAAUUGUUGUGCCACCGUCAACAGCGUCGGAAACAUAAACUUCAUUUUCGCAGAUGUGAAGGUCGGUGUGAGUUUCGUGCGCAAUGGACGCCACCUUUCGCCAUCCACACUAAACAGGUGACGAUUGACAAUGCUCUCACUGCUCUUACGUUGUUCGAAACGAUCGGUGAAUUUAUUGAAAUCUUUAAUUAGUAUGGACUUCACCAAGUCUAAGUCCAGCGCAACGGCUAUAGGUUUGGUAAAAACGUAUGUACCGACUAAUUUUGCUUUACCACGAAACUUUUUAUAGACUUCGUGGAAGAUUUCUGUUUUAUGCAUGGUUUUUAUGCGGAAGAAGUUUCCAUAGAAGAAAUUCAUUUGCAGCUGAGGCACACCACGUUGCUCCCAA